AGUAGGGCAAGAGAAGGGAGUUAGGAGAGUGAGAAAUAGAAUGUUUUGACUGGAUGAGCUUUAAGCCCAAACUCAUCAGUCUUUCUUAAUUGACUGGUUUCAGGCGAUUAAUUUGUUGACAGGAGAUAGUCUGUUGGUGAUCAGUUGAGAAAUAUCCAGCUGCAGUCUAUCUCAAGAUUGACAACAAGAAUUAGUUUGGCUUCAUUGUGAAAAGGUCAUCAGACCUCCAUUCCAGAGAAGGUUCUGUCUUAUCCCAGGAGGAAGGAUUGCUGCACAGAGAGGCCAUGAAGAAUCUAAACAGACCAGCCUUGCCAGGUUUUUCUACUCAGUCUAUUAGAAAUACAUCAUAAACCUUUUGUCCAAACAUAUGUCUACAUGGCAUCUAUACUUUGCUGUUUAUAAGUAUAAAACUGGACAGUUUCCCUUGUAUCUUUGGAUCUUCAUUCAGAAAGUUCCUGUGUCAUGCAAAAUUGAUCAAAUAAAUUUGUAUGCUGUUCCUCCUAUUAAUCUGUCUUUUUUUGGUUGUUUUUUAGUGAACCUUCAGAGGGUGAAGGGGCAGUAUUCCCUUAGUCCUUACAGUACAAAUUAAUGGUUUUUUAAUAUAUUCACAUUUAUGUUUCACCAUCACCACAAUCAAUUUCAAAGCAUUUUCCUCACAGCAAAACAAAAACAAGUACUACUUAUCAAUUACCCUCACCUUCCCUCACCUUAGAGAAACACUAAUCUGCUUUCUGUUUUUAUAGAUUUCCCAGCACUUGACAUUUUCUACAAAUGGAAUCACAUAAUGGGCAGGCUUCUGUGAAUGGCUUCUUUCACUUAGAAGAAUGUUCAUCCAUGUUGUAGCAUGUAUCAGUGUUUUAUUCCUAAGACAAAAUAAUAUCCUAUUUUAUAAAUAUACCACAUUUUUUAUACACUUGCUAAUUGAACUUUUGGCUUGUUGCUAUCAUUGGCUGUUUCUACCAUUAUGAAUAAUGCAGUUAUAAACAAUUUUCUAAAUGUUUUGGUAUGGUCAUAUGUUUUCAUUUUAUCUUCCUCAGAAUGUAAUCAAUGGGUCCUCUGUUAUUUCUGUGUUGAAUCAUUUGAGGAACUGCCAGACUCUUACACAAAGUAUUUGCAUCAUUUUUACAUUUCCACAAGGAGUGUAUGAGGGUUCCAAAUUCUCCACGACCAAGGGAAAACUUUUUUUAUUUGACUUUUGAUUCUAGCCACCUUAGUGAGUGUGAAGGAAUAUUUCAUUGUAGUUUUCAUUGCAUUUUGCUGAUGAAUAAUGAUGUAAUAAUGGCUCAUUGGACAUUUUUAUAUCUUCUUUGAAGAAAUGUCCAUUUAAUUUAUUUGUCUUUUUAUUAUUGAGAUGUGUCAUUCACAUAUUCUGUAUAUAUGUAUUUUAUUUUAGUUAUUCUGGGUCAUUUUUGUUUCCAUACAUGUCUUAUGUCAC
rnacentral:lncRNA from 10 species